rnacentral:tRNA from 1 species
AUUUAUAUAAUUUAUAUAAGAAUAUUGCAUUGAAGCUGCAAAAGAAACAUAGCUUUGUUUAUAAAUA